rnacentral:rRNA from 1 species
GUGCCAGCGCCGCGGUAGCACCGGCAGCCCGAGUGAUGGCCGAUAUUAUUGGGCCUAAAGCGUCCGUAGCCAGCUGAACAGGUCCGUUGGGAAAUCUGCUCGCUCGACGAGCAGGCGUCCGGCGGAAACCAGUCAGCUUGGGACCGAGAGGACCGAAGGGUACGUCUGGGGUAGGAGUGAAAUCCCGUAAUCCUGGACGGACCACCGAUGGCGAAAGCACUUCGGUAGAUCGGAUCCGACGGUGAGGGACGAAAGCUAGGGUCACGAACCGGAUUAGAAACCCCAGUAGUCC